rnacentral:lncRNA from 1 species
UCAUGUUGGUGCUUUCUGAUUCACAGAUUGUUCAAGUAAACUUUGUUAAAUUUCUUUUGUCAGAAGUUCUUCUUUUAACAAUUGUGUGUUAAGACAUAACUCUGGGAGCGUUUUGCAAAAUGCUUUUGAACAGGGAGAAAAUGUUGGCAUGAGGAUGAGUUUGGAUGCCUUUGAAAUAAUCCAGGCAAUAGAUAACUUUAAGAGAUGGGAGUGUUCCAGGUGGAGUAAAUAGCUUCUGCAGAAGCCCACAAUCUAAAUGCCCAACAGGGAACAUCUGCUUGGAACUCCCUUUGCUUGCUCUUCGCCAGUGCCUUUGACUUUCAUCACACCUGUUCACCAGCUCUAUCAGCUUGGUAGAAGUGAAAGCCCUACUCCUGGCAAUGGGUCAUUUGAGCUUAGAGGAGUGGGCUGGAGAAGAGGAAAUGAUACCAUGUUCUUUUAAGAAAAAAGAGGAAAAAGCCCACAAGAUGAACACUAUGGUGUAUAACCCUGUCAUGUCUUUUUAGCAAUGAACUUUGGAGCCCUGGAAACAAGUAGCCCUAAGUUACAACACUCAAUUUUAAAGGUCCAGCCUCUCUUGGUAUGUCAUGAAGUCUGAUAACCUGUGGAAUCCUGUUGCCUCUUAACAGGAUGCUAAGAGUGGCACAUUCCAGUCAGAGUUGAACAACAGUUUGAACUGCAAAGGUCCACCUGAUUUUUUUCUGCCUCUGCUACCUCUGAAACAGCAAGAUCAGCCCUUGCUCUUCCUUCUGCUCCUACUCAACAUGAAGGCACAAAGACGAAGACUUUAUAAUGAUCCAUUUUUACUUAAUAAGCAGUGAGGCACUGAAGGCAGGCUCCCACUAGUCUUUAAUGGAAAUAUUACAAAGUAGAAGGUA